AGAGUUUGAUCCUGGCUCAGAACGAACGCUGGCGGCAGGCUUAACACAUGCAAGUCGAGCGCCCCGCAAGGGGAGCGGCAGACGGGUGAGUAACGCGUGGGAAUCUACCUUUUGCUACGGAAUAACUCAGGGAAACUUGUGCUAAUACCGUAUGUGCCCUUCGGGGGAAAGAUUUAUCGGCAAAGGAUGAGCCCGCGUUGGAUUAGCUAGUUGGUGGGGUAAAGGCCCACCAAGGCGACGAUCCGUAGCUGGUCUGAGAGGACGACCAGCCACACUGGGACUGAGACACGGCCCAGACUCCUACGGGAGGCAGCAGUGGGGAAUUUUGGACAAUGGGGGCAACCCUGAUCCAGCAAUGCCGCGUGUGCGAAGAAGGCCUUCGGGUUGUAAAGCACUUUUGUCCGGGAAGAAAUCCCCUGCCCUAAUACGGCGGGGGGAUGACGGUACCGGAAGAAUAAGCACCGGCUAACUACGUGCCAGCAGCCGCGGUAAA
rnacentral:rRNA from 1 species